UACAGAGGCCUCGAGCAUUAGGCGGAAUCACUGGGCUUAAAGCGUGUGUAGGCGGACUUCUAAGUACCUUGUGAAAUCCCACGGCUUACCCGUGGAACUGCUGGGUAUACUGGUUGUCUUGAGCCACUUAGGGGCUACCGGAACAAAUGGUGGAGCGGUGAAAUGCGUAGAUAUCAUUUGGAACGCCAAUGGUGAAAACAGGUAGCUGGGAGUGUGCUGACGCUGAGACACGAAAGCCAGGGGAGCGAACGGG
rnacentral:rRNA from 1 species